CUUGGUUCCCCUUUUUGUCUGGUUGUCGAUGUUUCCUGCUGUUCCUGUCCGUGUUUUGCCUCGUAUAUCAUGUCCCCUGGCGAGGCUGAGUGAAAGUCCAAACCCCAGAUGAAGGGUGAAGACUCCCUCUGGCUGCAGAGCCCAGCCCCGCUCUGCCUGUUUGGGCCGGUCCCUUCACAGUGAUGGCUUACCUGAGGAAUUCACCAACGCUUUUUUUUUUUAAUAUCCCCAUUUAUACUCUAGCAAUAGCUGUGUGCGCGUACAAAGGGCAAUGUGUACAAACCCCGCCGUCCUCUCUCCUUUGGCUGAAAUAUAAUCAGUCUUUUAGCCUCUGCUUUUGUACCAGGGCUUUUUCUUCUUUUUCACUUCCUGCCCGGCAUUGAGGAGGAGGCCCAGAAUCUACAGCAGUAUUCAGAUCCUUUACUAAAAUACCAGCAGUGGCUCAGUGUCUAGAGAUCUGGGUUGAGAGCCGAAGGGUCACCAGUUCAAGUCCUGACUAAAACUGGACAAACCUGGCAGUUUGCACACACAUCUCUCUGUAAUGCAUGUGUUUCUAUUCAGACUGUGUAUUGUACUGUGUAAUCACAACUGGUUGAACAACUGAAUUUAUUAAAAUAAAGCUUGUACUUGUACUCCGUGCGAUGAAGUACUCAGAUCUUGUAGUACUCUUCUUGGUACUUGUUGUGCUCAAUUUCAAUAAAGUUGAAUCUAAUUGAA